ACGCACGCUUGCGGCGUGCUUAACCCCUGCAAGUCGCACGGAAAGGCCCUGCUUUUGUGGGGUGCUCGAGUGGCGAACGGGUGAGUAACACGUGAGUAACCUGCCCUUGACUUUGGGAUAACUUCAGGAAACUGGGGCUAAUACCGGAUAGGAGCUCCUGCUGCAUGGUGGGGGUUGGAAAGUUUCGGCGGUUGGGGAUGGACUCGCGGCUUAUCAGCUUGUUGGUGGGGUAGUGGCUUACCAAGGCUUUGACGGGUAGCCGGCCUGAGAGGGUGACCGGCCACAUUGGGACUGAGAUACGGCCCAGACUCCUACGGGAGGCAGCAGUGGGGAAUAUUGCACAAUGGGCGGAAGCCUGAUGCAGCAACGCCGCGUGCGGGAUGACGGCCUUCGGGUUGUAAACCGCUUUCGCCUGUGACGAAGCGUGAGUGACGGUAAUGGGUAAAGAAGCACCGGCUAACUACGUG
rnacentral:rRNA from 1 species